UGGGGAAUAUUGCACAAUGGGGGAAACCCUGAUGCAGCAACGCCGCGUGAGUGAUGACGGUCUUCGGAUUGUAAAACUCUGUCUUCAGGGACGAUAAUGACGGUACCUGAGGAGGAAGCCACGGCUAACUACGU
rnacentral:rRNA from 1 species